AAUCUUACACUUCUAUUCAGCCACGUGGCAUCUCCUCAUUGCCUCUCAUUGCCCCUUCUUUUGCUCUAGAUCCAACGGUCUACAACAGUCCUCUAGAAAUCCAAAGGUGCUCGAAACAUACCCUUUCCCUUUUCCAAGAGGCGCUCAAUCUGCACCGUCCAUUUUGUUCAUCGGAUGGCUCCCUUCCCCCUCCCCUCCGCGCGUUCCUUGCACGUGCCUCCUCUGAUACCCGAAGCGCCGCUCUCUCUCUCUCUCUCUCUCUCACCACCUCUCUCUUUCUCUCCUCUCUCCCCUCUAUCCUCUCCUCUCUCCCCUCCUCCGAUGCCUGAGCUGUCCAUCGUUAGACAUCAUGAUUAGGUCUCCUACACCUACCCUACUUGGCCGAUCCAAUCGUUCAGGUUGCUACGCUUGCAGAUCCAAUGGUCGCUGUUACCUCCUCUCUCCCCCCGUCGCCGGUGCUACUCUUUACUAUCUUCUCUCUCUUCUCCGUCUUCCUCUGAGGGCUUUGCCAGCCCACUGAUUCGACAGCAACAAUAGGAUAGCUAAUUUUUUCUUGAUUUUUUGAAUAUACUGAGAGAGAUGGUGGAGGUUGCUUAAAGUCUUCCUCUUUUCUUCUCUUCUGACCUUCUAUAGCUUUUAUAUAAAUAGGCUAACCUUUUCAGAACAGUACAGAUUGUUUCUGAACACAAAUAUAAAGGUGGGAUAAAGGUAUUUUGAAGCAUAAAAGAUAAAAAUUGGCAUUUUAUUAUUACAUAGUUGUUAAUCUCCUACACACCGUCACUUUUCUACAGUCCCGCACACCAUAACUUUUCUACAGUCUGUUGUUUUUUAGGUGCCUAUAAAA
rnacentral:lncRNA from 1 species